UACGUAGGGGGCGAGCGUUAUCCGGAUUUAUUGGGUUUAAAGGGUGCGUAGGCGGGCUUUUAAGUCAGCGGUAAAAAUUCGGGGCUCAACCCCGUCCGGCCGUUGAAACUGGGGGCCUUGAGUGGGCGAGAAGAAGGCGGAAUGCGUGGUGCGGCGGUGAAAUGCAUAGAUAUCACGCAGAACCCCGAUUGCGAAGGCAGCCUUCCGGCGCCCUACUGACGCUGAGGCACGAAAGUGCGGGGAUCGAACAGG
rnacentral:rRNA from 1 species